GACGAACGCUGGCGGCGUGCUUAACACAUGCAAGUCGAGCGGAAAGGCCCUGCUUUUGUGGGGUGCUCGAGUGGCGAACGGGUGAGUAACACGUGAGUAACCUGCCCUUGACUUUGGGAUAACUUCAGGAAACUGGGGCUAAUACCGGAUAGGAGCUCCUGCUGCAUGGUGGGGGUUGGAAAGUUUCGGCGGUUGGGGAUGGACUCGCGGCUUAUCAGCUUGUUGGUGGGGUAGUGGCUUACCAAGGCUUUGACGGGUAGCCGGCCUGAGAGGGUGACCGGCCACAUUGGGACGGAGAUGCGGCCCAGACUCCUACGGGAGGCAGCAGUGGGGAAUAUUGCACAAUGGGCGGAAGCCUGAUGCAGCAACGCCGCGUGCGGUAUGACGGCCUUCGGGUUGUAAACCGCUGUCGCCUGUGACGAAGCGUGAGUGACGGUAAUGGGUAAAGAAGCACCGGCUAACUACGUG
rnacentral:rRNA from 1 species